rnacentral:lncRNA from 1 species
CUUUAGGAAAGGGAAUGCAUAAAGCAUUAAGUCAAUAAUCACGAUAUUCCUGAGAAAAACAAUGGCAUCCUCUAUGGAGAUAGAAGAAAGAGGAGAAAAUGAUUACUUUUAUUAAUUUUUAAAUAUUUAUUAACAUACAGUAGCCUUCGUGAUAAAGAGAAAGAAAGGGAGGGAGGGGAAGAGAGAGAGAGAGGAGAGAGAGAGAGAGAGAGAGAGAGAGAGAGAGAGAGAGAGAGAGAGGAAAGUUCCCUUAACCUGGUAAGAGGCUUUUCUGAAGCCCACAGCUGACAGCACAGUGAAUGAGAGAGAGAGAGAGAGAGAGAGAGAGAGAGAGAGAGAGAGAGAGAGAGAGAGAGAGAGAGAGAGACCUUCACCCUGUAAUCCUCUGGUGCCGUUCAAUACUGAACUAGAGUUGUAAUCAAAAAAAUUAGGGGUCUGCGCUUGCGCGGGCGCGGGCGCGGGCGCGGGCUCGCUCGCCGGCCGUCCUGUGGGCCGGCGCCGGGGGCCAUGGGAAAUGCACUUAUCAAAAUUGACUUCAGAAGAGAGAAGGCUAACGAUGGAAAACACUGGGAAAGUGACCAGAAAGCUGUCCUCGGUGCCAGGCCCAGUUGAUGUCACAGGCUUCCCCAGAGAGGAGCGGCUGGAAGCACCAUGAUGGGCUCGGAAGCUCAUGACAAGAGGCCUCCGAUGUUGACCUCAUCAAACCAGGACUUGUCACCUCACCUCGCUGACAUGGGUCAAAUAAAGCAUUACUUC